AAAUGUACUAGGUAAAUACACAUGUCGGGAAUUCACCUGUGAACAUUUGAUAAAUUGAAUGGGAACAGAUCAGUGGGGAUCAAGGAAGGAUCCAUGACUUUUUGGCGAGAUGUGUCAAAAGGUGGAAUGUAGGAAAUGUGGAAAACCAACAUGGGCAGGCUGUGGUAGUCAUAUAGAACUGGUUUUACGUGGCAUUGCAGAUGAAGAUAGGUGUAAAUGCUCGAAGAAAAAGUCCAAAUGCGUCAUAUUAUAGUCAGAAUAUUCGUCCAUUAUUUACAUCAUCAACAGUGAUUUUCUAGAUAUAGUGCAGCUAUUUCAAAGAUGUGAUAAUGUCUGUUUCCAUGGUAACAGUUCUCAAGAAUUAUCAACUCAUCAAUGAGGAGAGACAAUACAUUCACCAGUUGAAGGGAUGCAUGUUGGUCAGAAAAGAUAGCAGAAAAUAUUAAUUAUCUUCACAGUAACCAUCCAUCAUUCCAGAGCUCUACAACCUCUCUUUUUGUCUGCAUGUGGCAGCAGUUCUCCCAAGGUUACAAAGCUGAACUUGGAGAACAGUCUCAGUUCUGCAGCAUCUGAUUGGUUCCUUCUGAGCACAGUUUCAGGUCUGCAGCAUCUGAUUGGUUCUUUCUGAGCACAGUUUCAGAUCUGCAGCAUCUGAUUGGUUUUUUCUGAGCACAGUUUCAGAUCUGCAGCAUCUGAUUGGUUCUUUCUGAGCACAGUCUCAGUUCUGCAGCAUCUGAUUGGUUCUUUCUGAGCACAGUUUCAGAUCUGCAGCAUCUGAUUGGUUCUUUCUGAGCACAGUUUCAGAUCUGCAGCAUCUGAUUGGUUCUUUCUGAGCACAGUUUCAGAUCUGCAGCAUCUGAUUGGUUCUUUCUGAGCACAAUUUCAGAUCUGCAGCAUCUGGUUGGUUCUUUCUGAGCACAGUUUCAGAUUUAAGCAGUGGUUGAGAUUGGUCACUUUAUUUUAAAUUAGUUUUAUAACCUUGGGAGUCGGUUGAAAAUGGUGGUGUCAUGAGAUUCACCACUGAUACUCGUGCUAUAUUUUGUACACACUUUUUGUUGUAUUUGGGACUUGUGACCAUUGUAGAAUAUAUUAAGUUGUUCAUGUUAUACCUGCUCACAGGGGGAUCGAGACUCUGUGUGUAAUGCUUGUACAUGUAUACAGUAAUUAUGUCUCUCACCACAAUUGGUGUGGGAGACAUAUUGAUUUACUCCUGUCUGUGUGUCUUUGUGUCUGUCACAAAACUUGUCCGCACUGUUAAGUCGAACAUUUCUCAUCCGAUCUUCACCAAACUUAAACAAAACGUGUUUGACCGCAAGUCCUCUGCCAUGUUAAAUAACUAGCCAAAUUAGCCCAGGCACUUCGGAAUUAUGGCCCUAAUGAAUUAUCGAAAAUCGGCCUAUGUGCUCUUGUCCGCGCUCUAAGUCGAACAUUUCUCAUCCGAUUUCACCAAACUUAAACAAAAUGUGUUUGACCAUAAGUCCUCGGCCAAGUUUGAUAACUAGCCAAAUCGGCGCCAGGCACUUCGGAAUU
rnacentral:lncRNA from 1 species